UGAAUGUCAGUCUCGAACCCGAUCCGAUUUUCUCGUGUAUUGUGUAUGAUGCGAGGAGUUUUACUCCUCUCCGAUUCUGUUAUAGAUCUGGUUCGCCCGUAAUAGAUGUAAUUGUUGCCGACUCCUCGUUCAAGGCACUUUCGGAUAAUUUAUGCAAUCAAACUUUAAACCACAGGAGAGAUUUUAUAUAAAACUAAGAAAAUACUACGUAUUUAAUAUUAUGUUCAUAAUUUGUUGCUAAUAAAAAUAUUAUUUAUUUCGUAAAAUAAAUCCGAGAAACAAAUAUAACUCACUAGAGGGCGAACAGACUCUAUAUAUUAGCGGAGUGUCUUUCUUCCGUUUUAUUUUACGCUGAUCGUGAGGUAUGUGUGGUUACGUUUAAGGAAGAUGAUGCUUUAAAAGGACUUCAUCCGAUAUCCUUAUCCUGAGUAGUGGUAAGAAUGGGUAUUAAUCAUUCGCAUCUGUGAAUUGGUUAUGGAGAUACUUGAGUCUUGUUUAUCGCGAUCCUAUCUUAGCUGUUUUAAGAGACUAAGCUAGGGUCGUUGGUGCAGUAGUUUUAUAAGAAUGUGUGUAAAUGGUUUCGUUUAAACAAAAUAAAGGCAUAUUUUAUAUUGGUUGUUAUGAAUAUAUAUUAUUGUACAAAAUUCACCAUACAUGAUUUCAAUAACUUACUAGAUGAAAAUGAUUUACAAAUUCGCCAUUAUAAAAUUUUUGUAAUUAAUUAAUUCGUUCAAAC